rnacentral:lncRNA from 1 species
AGGGUGUGCUAAGCUGCUCACUUCAUCAUUCUAGGAGCCAUGCCCCUACCUGCAUGAUCACUUUUGAGUUUCAAUACUGUUUGAAGAACUUCCUCAGAAAAAGCAUGCUGUACUCUGCCUACACUAAAUGGCCUGUGUCUUAUACGAGGACUAUGCAAGUGGCAGGCCCUGACACUUCAGCUGUUUCAGCUUUACGGUGAAUCUGUGUCUUCAAUUCAUCCAUAAUUUUAGCAUCCUCCAAAGCUACUCUCUGGGAACAGAAACAGUCUCUAUUCAUCCACCUCACUGCUCAUGAGAAUUCUAGACAUCUAUGAAGAAACCGAGACAUUUUGAAAUAGAAGGUAAAGGAGAAGAAGCAUGUUGUUUGAAUAGUCUCCUCCUCUCAUAAAAAAGAACUGAUUGUUUAUUGUUAAAUCUAAAUGAAGGAGUUUGUGUUUUUUUAGAACCAUCUAUAUUAUAACUCCUAAAGUUAUGAACAAGCUGUUCUGUAAGUUCUGACGUUUUCUUUUCAUUCUAUUUUCUAUUUACGAACUCAUCCCUUUUAGUGUUUUCACACCAUAUUUUUACCAAGGACUAUGAAAUCUCUUGACUAGUUCUGACCUCUUCCAAACAAAAUAAUCCAAUUCCUAACUGCUUGAUGGGCACAUCUGAGUGUCAAAGCCUAUUAAGCUUAACAUAUUCUAACGCUUGACCCUAACUGGCUCUUCCUUCCUGAUUCCCUGUGACAAUUACAGACAACACAUUCCUUUAAGCCUCCAAGAGUAGAGUCCUCAAGAUCAUGUUCGACUCCUCUCCUUCCCUCAUCAUUAUAUCUCACCAGUUCUAACAAUUCUGUUACAAAAAUUUAAUUCUUUCUGUUCAUGAUACUUAUCUUUAUCUUAGUGCUCACCUUCCCCAUUUUCUGUCAGGAUGACUACUGCCUCUCAAUGUUAGCCUCUCUGCAUCCACAAUGCAGUAGUUCACUUUUAUAUGAGUGGCUGGUCGGUUACUCUAUCUGAAACACAGCCUUCAGUACUUAAUUCCUCCUUAUAAAUGUUCAUAGAAGAACAUUAAAACAUCUCAAGGCCAUAUUUAGAUCAUUUAUGACCUGGGUCCAAUUCUUCCUUGGUCACAUCAUCCAGUGUAUUAUAAGCACCAUGAAAGUGAAAAUUAUUGUAAUCCCAGCACUUUGGGAGGCUGAGGAGGGCAGAUCACUUGAGGCCAGGAGUUUGAGACCAGGCUGGUCAACAUGAUGAAACCCCGUCUCUACUAAAAAUACAGAAAAUUAGCCGGGGGUGGUGGCAGGCACCUGUAAUCUCAGCUACUGGGGAGGCUGAGGCAGGAGAAUCGCAUGAACCUAGGAGGCAGAGGUUGCAGUGAGCCGAGAUCGCGCCAUUGCACUCCAGCCUGGGCAAUAAGAGUGAAACUCCGUCUCAAAAAAAAAAAAAAAAAAAAGAAAGUGAAAAUUAUUGUAGUCAUUCAUUUUCAAGAGUAUAUCCUCAAUGCUUGGCACAUGGGAGGUACUCCUUAUUUAUAGCAUGAUUGCCUGUUGUCCAGUUACAACAGCAAUUCCACAUUUCUUGAAGUCUUUACAUCUUCAUCUUUGUGUUCUCUGACUUGGAUAUUUUUCCAUCCUAACCUCCCUCCCAUUUCUUUGCCACUGAAAUUCCACUGCUCUUUUGCAAUCAAACUCAAUUACCACCUUCUCUGUGAAAUCUUUCUGAAUAUUCCAGUCAGAAUAAUAAUUUUUAUCUAUACUUCCACAUUGCUUUGUCUUUACCUUGAAGAUUUAAUUCCUUAUGAUAGUUUCUAUAUUCAAAUAAAAUAAUGAAUAUGGUCAUAAAAUUGUUACAAUUGCUUUAAGACUCAUAUUCUUCACUGGAUAUAUGUUAAUUUGUGGAUAAGAAUUGUAUUUAAUAAAUAACAACAAUGUUAAUAAUAAUGAUGGCAACAAUAUAGUAAGAUCACAAUAAAAGUUACUAAAUGAAUGAAUAAUUAUGACAACAGCUGGCAUUUACUCAGCGCAUACCUGAAUCGUUACUUUAGUAGGUACUCUAUUUUCAGGAUCUCAUUUAAUUUUCAAAAUAAUACUAUAAGAUAAAUGUUAUUUCCCCAACUUUAUAGAUAAUAAAACAGAUUUUCCAUGAGAUUAAAUAAUGUGUCUAGUCUUAUGCUGGUAAGUUUUGGAUCUGAUAUAUUUUCCAAAGUCUGAUUCACUAAACAAAAAAACUUAUACUGUAAACAACCUUCAACAUCUUAGUCACGCUUAGAUUUUCCAUUAGCUGCAGCAACAAUGAGCAUAUACUGGAUGCUCAAUAAAGUUGAUUUGUGUUCACAUUGUAGAUGUUUAUUUCUAAAAUAGAGAUUUUUUGUGAUCACAUCAAAAAGAAGACUAAACAUUCAUUGUUAAUUGUGGUCUCAGAGGGCAAACAAAAGCUUGCAAUUUAUAAAAAUAAAAAAAAUGAUUAAACUGACCGGACCUAUAUUAUCCUAAUCUUUAUUCAUUCACUAAACAAACACCCACUGAACACACACUAUUUUCAAGGGUUACCCUAAUUUCCUGUGAAUAUUUAAAAUUAAGGACAGAAAAUUUCUGUAUUAGAAUUGAUGUAAUUCUUAUUUAUCAAACAUACAGAGGUUUCAGUAUGAUUUACUACAGCAGCAACUAGGUACAUACUUAAAUUAUAAGCAAAAUUAAUUUUGAUCUUAAUUAUCUUUCUCAUCCUGGUAUCAUUUCUAUUCUUGUUAUAGUUUUCAUGUGUUCCUUUUUUUAAAAAAAAGAAUACUUUUUUCUUAAGCUUUUCUUUUCCAGCGUUCUCCCAUGCUUUUUCCCUAUUUUUACUUAAAAAAAAAAUCCUUCCACAGUCUUCUGUCAUAUCCACAAUUCCCUUUUCUUUCCACUCUGUUCAUUUUCUUGUUCUCAUUUUUGGCU